AAUGACCAAGGGGAUUUAAGGGCGUCCACUCGUCUCUGUUGUUGGCUGCUUAUCGUCCUUCCAAACCCUUCAUUUGCUUCGACCUUUCCAAUGGACGGCCAAUUGGCCUUUCCCUUCUCACACCUUUCCCACUUCUUAAUUUACUCUUCCUAGCUAAUUAAUCCACACUUUUUUUUUAUCAAUUUAAUUAAUUUUUGUUUUCUUCUCACCCCCCCCCCCCCCCCCUCUCUCUCUCUCUCUCUCUCUCUCUCUCUCUCUCUCUUUCUCUCUCUCUGGUUGCGUAUGUCAGUUCUAUAUAAAAAGAUUACCUACACACCAACUUGAACGAAAUGUCUUUCCUAAUGGAUUCAAACACUAGUUCAACUCUUCUUUUAUGUCCUCCAUCAAUGGAACCUAAUGAAGAUGAGAAUGGGGUUUUGGUUUUUGACUCAAACUUGCUAACAAAACAACCAAACUUGCCCAACCAAUUCCUUUGGCCAAUUGGAGACCUAGUUGAUACAGUGCAAGAAGAGCUCGAGGAGCCUUUGAUCGAUUUACAAGGCUUUCUUAAAGGUGACGAGCGUGAAACUGCACAUGCUGCGGAGCUCAUGAGGAUGGCUUGCACGAACCAUGGUUUCUUCCAAGUGACCAACCAUGGUGUUGACCCCAAUCUCAUUCACGCAGCACAUAAUGAAAUUGAUACAAUCUUUAAGAUGUCACCGAGCAAAAAGAUCAGCGCUCGAAGGAAACCUGGCAGUGUGUCUGGAUAUUCGGGUGCCCAUGCAGAUCGAUAUUCUUCGAAGUUGCCAUGGAAAGAAACAUUUUCUUUCACUCAUCAAGCAAGUAGUGAAUCUGGACCAGUUGCUGAAUACUUUAAAUUGGUAUUGGGAGAAGAAUUUGAACAAACUGGGUGGAUUUACCAAAGAUAUUGUGAAGCAAUGAGGGAGUUAUCUCUGGAGAUAAUGGAGCUGCUUGCUAUUAGUUUGGGAGUGAAUAGAGAGUACUAUAGGAAUUUUUUUGAAGAUAGUAGCUCUAUAAUGAGGUGCAAUUACUAUCCCCCCUGUAAUAAUUCAGAGCUAACCAUGGGAACAGGUCCCCAUUGUGACCCAACCUCCCUGACCAUACUCCAUCAAGACCAAGUUGGUGGCCUUGAAGUUUUUGCUAACAACAAAUGGCAGGCUGUUAGACCACGGCCUGAUGCCCUAGUGGUUAACGUUGGUGAUACCUUCAUGGUAGGUUCCCAUAUAAUUAAUCCCAUUAAUAGAUUUCUUUCAUUUUUUUAAUUUUUAAAAAUUUUCCUUAUGACACAUUAAUUUGUAGAAAGGUUUUCAAUCCGGCUCGACUAUAAAUUUUUAAUUAAUAUGUAACAUAUAUAACAACGUUAUUAUGAAUAUAUCACCUAUAUUAUGGUGAAUAUUUGACUGCAUUAGAUCGUCUAAAGGUAUUUAUAUGGGUUUGGAUACCCAGGUAAUAUGGGUGACCUUGCCCAUAAAAGAAAAUUUUUAUAUGUAUAUUAGAUGUUUGCUUUUUAAAAUGACUAGAGCCACUGCAUUAAAUCGUAUAAUGGUAUUUAUAUGGGUUUGGAUAUCCAACUAAUAUGGGUGACAUUGCCCAUAAAAGAAAAAUUUUAUGUGUAUAUUAGAUGCUUGCUUUUUAGAAUGAUUAGAGCCACAUAGUACUAAGACAAAUAAUUGCAUGCCAAAUUGAUAUGCAGCCCAAAGGUGUUGGAUUUUAGUUGUUUUGAAAAGAAUUAAUUAACUUUAAUCCUAAGGCCAAAACACUAUGAGAAUUGUGCAUCUACGAUUCGAUGGUGAUUCAUGUAGCCAUCACUUGUGGGACCCUUUACAAGUUUCAUUAAAAAAUAAUUGUUGGGUGUGUCCAAAACGGAUAAGACUGCGAUGCAAGUGGAAUAGUCUAAAACCCUGUAACAAGACAAGUCCAAGCCUGCAUAUAUUUGUCGUUCUCCAACAUAUAAUUAGCAUUAUCAAAUGGGAGAUACAAGAGCUGCCUUCAUAGAGCAGUGGUGAACAGGGAUAAGGCAAGAAGAUCAUUGGUUUUCUUUGUGUGCCCAAGAGAGGACAAAGUAGUGAGACCCCCACAAGAUCUGG